AUGGAAUAGACCACAGAGCCAGUCCAGGAUCCAAAGGGAUUAAGAGGAGCAUUUGCUCUGCUCUGAAAGGGCCUUUUUUCCCCACUCUAGUUUCUAACUUCCCAUUACACACACUCCCUCUGCAAGGCACCGCGCCAAUGGAGCCGGUUCACUCUGUUCUCUCCUUGAUGACAGCUGUCAGUCUGUCGCCGCCUGAACAUGCAACAUUUCAACAAAAUCCAAAGCGGAACUGGAAGGGCAGGGGCUGAAGCACACAGCCUGAUCUCCUUCCUGGAGGUCCCAGACUCCUUAACCAUCACUUUUCAACCUGCUUAAGGUUAGAACCACCUCACUCUUCACUAACAGAGUUGAGGCAGCUUCUGUCUCCUCAGAACCUGGGCAUUCCCACACAGUGUAAUUAAGCAACAUUCCUGGAAAUCAUCCUAAGAAGAAAGAGCCCGCAAGUCCCCGUGUAACUUCAGCACGAACGCGGAGGGUGCUAAACCAGGCUGCUCAACAUGAAGACGCAGAUGAAGACCUUUAUGAUGAUCCACUUCCACUUAAUGAAUAGCAAACAUAUUUUCUCCUCCUUAUGAUUUUCUUAAUAAAAUUUUCUUUUCUCUUACUUUAUUGUAAGAAUACAGUAUAUAAUUAACAAAGUAUGCCUUAAUUGACUAUUUAUUUGAUCAGUAAAACUUGUAGUUAAGAAUAGGCUAUUAGUAGUUAAGUUUGGGGUAGCCAAAAGUUAUAUAUGGAUUUUCAACGGCACAGGGGCUGGUCCUCCUAAACCUUGCAUUAUUCAAGGAUCAACAGUAUUUUACCAUACUACACAUUUUAUUCAUAUUUUAGAGUGUAGUACUUCUACUCAUUAAAAAACAUUAACUAUAAAACGGCCUCAGGCAGGUCUUUCAGGAGUUAUUCCAGAAGAAAGCAUUGUUAUCAUAGGAGACGACAGCUGCAUGCAUAUUAUUGUCCCUGAAGACCCUGAGGACCUUUCACUGGGACAAGAUGUGGAGAUGGAAGACAGUGAUAUUGAUUAUCCUGACCCUUAUAGGGCUAAGCUAGUGUGUGUGUUUGUAUCUUAGUUUUUAACAAAAAAAUUUAAAACAUAAAAAAAUAAAGCUUAUAGAAUAAGGAUAUAAAGAAUUUCUG
rnacentral:lncRNA from 10 species